UUUGUUGUGUGUGUUGCUGAGUGGUAGCGCGCGUCCAUGUGCAUUUCUUCGGCGGCAUGUUCGCGUACGUUCGUUUCCGCGACGACAACGAAAAGCGAAUCGUCCCAGUGGCUGCAUGUAAACACCUCAAGCCGAACGAUACGAGCGAUUUUAAUCCUCGCAAAUGGUACAAAGUCUUCUGGAAAGAUGAAACACACUGCGACCACUACCACGUGCGCUCAAGUGAUUAGGCUUUACGCUACCGAGGACGAUGCAAGGAAGGCUACCGAAAAACGAACUUCCAUUCCGCAAAGACCUGGCAGCGACUCCUCCUAUAGCUGCAGUUCAAAUGAAGUGGAUGGAUCGUUUGAAGAAGAAACGCAGCGUCAAGCUGCUGUUAAACAGAAAAUGAAGGAUGUGAGCAGCCAUUUUAAGAAGCAGCAGCGAGACCUCCUGUUUGGUGAUGCUGAGGGAGGAAAAAAGACCGAGAAAGAACUUCUCAAAGAAGAAGUGAAUAUGCUGAAGGCCGAAAAUUCAAAACUCUUGGACCGAAUAAGAAUGCUCGAAAAGGCCCUAUGCAGCAAAAUUUUCAAAACAGAAAAAAAACCUCGUUCUGUGCGAGGGCUGCAGCCGCAAGCCAGAACAACAAGUUGCGCCUUUGCCAUCGCCAUGUGCUGCCACGGUGCAGCUGCCACGCACCACCACCAUGCAGCCGCCGCGCACCGCUACCGUGCAGCCACUGCGUACCACCACAGCGAUCCCGGGCAGCCCUGAAGUGGCCCACACAAGUGCGAGGGAGGCCGAUUACGUGCCCACUGACGGAGAGGUGCAUCUGGGCAAAGGGAUCACCAUUCCUGAGGGCCUGUACAGCCGCCUCAUGAGCACAAAAAGCGAAACCCGCUUUGUUCGUGAGGCGGCCAUUGCCAUUUAUUCAACGGCAGGCUUGGUUGGGUGGAGUGUAAUUGGAACAGCCUCUAACCGGACAAAGGGAGAGGCAAAACCUCCCUUGGAUAAAGAAAAAUACGCUGUGCUUUCUGGUAGGGAAAAUUUCCCAGUCUGACUGGAGUUUAUGAAAGUAGUUGGCUGCAUUUUUGUGCAUAAUAGUAAGAUCAGCCGAGAUUCCACUGCCAACUUGUGUUAUAACUACUUACUAAGGCUUCAAGCCUCGUAUUUUUGUCUACUGGAGCUGGACACUUAUGCAAGUAUCAACAAACUAAUUAAAAAAAAAACAGACUGA
rnacentral:misc_RNA from 1 species